rnacentral:rRNA from 1 species
GACGUAGGGCGCGAGCGUUGUCCGGAUUUAUUGGGCGUAAAGAGCUCGUAGGCGGCUUGUCGCGUCGUCCGUGAAAACUCACAGCUCAACUGUGAGCUUGCGGUCGAUACGGGCAGGCUAGAGUUCGGUAGGGGGAGACUGGAAUUCCUGGUGUAGCGGUGAAAUGCGCAGAUAUCAGGAGGAACACCGGUGGCGAAGGCGCUCAGUCUGGCCCAAUACUGACGCUGAAGCGCGAAAGCUAGGGGAGCAAACGGG